UCGGGGACACAAGCCCCGCAAAUUAAAAUAAAUUGAAAAUGUUUUUAAAAUGGUCUUUCAUGUGACGCCUGGGUGUCGUUCUCCACAAACAGGCAUCGGCCUGAGGCGCACGCCCCCUUUCGGCAGGAACUGGGAGCCACGAGUGCCUCCCGUGGCCGGAUCCCAGGCAUCCGAGUUCGUGUGUGUGUUUGUGUUCGUUCGUUUAGACACCGAGGCCUCAAAGAGCCAUCGCUGCAAAUCGGGGUUCCAGAGACGCGGCAUCUCCAGGCGUCAGCGCUCGCCCCCGUUCGUAGCACCCUCCGUGCAGGUCUUUCUGGAACCGAAAAUGGAAUUAUGGGUGACUUUUCAUCCUCCGGGUCAUGUACCUUUCAGACUAUGCACCAUGACCCCUGAGCUCUGUGAAAUAACACCGCUGCCUACUUUCAUCCUCUGCUAGCCGGCAGGACAGCGUUACAUGGGAAACCUUAGCAUGUGGUUCUUUGUUAGAAAUGCCAUCAGAGCGUUUUCUCCACCAAUGGUCGUCCGUCUGACCUUCUCCCCCAAAUCCUGGUGGCACCCUCUAAAGUCGGAAGGAGCCCUUCCAGGUUGUCAAAGAGUCUCCUCUUCCUGUCAAGCCAUCCCUGAGGUCACACUGGAGACCGUCCCCAAGACUGUAGCCCACAAAGAAAAUACCUUCCGAGGACAGAAUUGUUGAAAACACACUUCCCCCUAGAGGCAGAAAAGAUGAAACAAUAUUGCACAGAAUUCGGGAAUAUGUUUGUCAUGAAAUGAGGGCUGAGAUCUUAUUUGUAACAUGCAGUUGGUGUUUCUGAGAAACCAUUCAAGAUGUGGGAGGAAAAUCAAUGAAAAAAUUAAAACUUUGCCUCUAGGUCUUAGCUUUCCUUAGCAGGGACUCUGUUAAUUGGCCCCCUCCUUUUGUUUUGUUUUGUUUUGUUUUAAUACAAAUCUUCGAUUUUUUUGCCAGCACUAAAAA